AAAAAGGGCUUCUGUUGUGAGUGGCACACGUAGGGCAGCUCCAUUGCUCUUCGUACAGAAUAGACAUCAAGAGAUUUCAGAAGCAAAAUUUUUUGGUACCCAGGCAGCGGGUGAUCAUUGGUCCCGGCGCCCCA
ensembl:snRNA